GAUGAACGCUAGCGGCAGGCUUAAUACAUGCAAGUCGUGGGGCAGCAUGAAUGUAGCAAUACAUUUGAUGGCGACCGGCAAACGGGUGCGGAACACGUACACAACCUUCCGAUAAGUGGGGAAUAGCCCAGAGAAAUUUGGAUUAAUACCCCGUAACAUAUAGAGGUGGCAUCAUCUUUAUAUUAUAGCUACGGCGCUUAUUGAUGGGUGUGCGGCUGAUUAGAUAGUUGGCGGGGUAACGGCCCACCAAGUCUACGAUCAGUAGCUGAUGUGAGAGCAUUAUCAGCCACAGGGGCACUGGGACACGGGCCCGACUCCUACGGGAGGCAGCAGUAAGGAAUAUUGGUCAAUGGACGCAAGUCUGAACCAGCCAUGCCGCGUGAAGGAUUAAGGUCCUCUGGAUUGUAAACUUCUUUUCUCUGGGGCGAAAACCAGCUAUUCUUAGCUAUUUGACAGUACCAGAGGAAUAAGCACCGGCUAACUCCGUGCCAGCCGCCGCAGUAACAC
rnacentral:rRNA from 1 species